GUCUUUUUGAUAAUAAUUUAAAGUCUGACCUGCCCACUGAAUAAUUUAAAUGGCCGCGGUAUUUUGACCGUGCAAAGGUAGCAUAAUCAUUAGUUUUUUAAUUGAAAGCUGGAAUGAAGGGUUGAAUAAGAAAAUAACUGUCUCAAUUUAAAUUUAUUAGAAUUUUAUUUUUAAGUUAAAAAGCUUAAAUAAUAUUAAUAGACGAGAAGACCCUGUAGAGUUUAAUAAAAAUUAAUAUUUAAUAAGUUUAGAAUAAAUAAAUAAAUAUUAAUAAUUAUUUGAUUGGGGUGAUUAAAAAAUUUAAAAAACUUUUUUUUUAUUUUUACAUUAAUAAGUGAAUACUUGAUCCAUAAGUUUUGAUUAUAAGAUAAAAUUACCUUAGGGAUAACAGCGUGAUUUUUUUUGAGAGUUCUAAUCGAAAAAAGAGAUUGCGACCUCGAUGUUGGAUUAAAGUUAAUAUUUGGUGUAGAAGCUAAUAUAUUAGGUCUGUUCGACCUUUAAAUCUUUACAUGAUCUGAGUUUAAACCGGUGUGAGCCAGGUUGGUUUCUAUCUUUAAUAAGAAAUAAUAUUUUAGUACGAAAGGACCAAAUAUUAAAUAAAUUAUUUUUUUUUAGAAUAAUAUUAAUUAUUUUGGCAGAUUAGUGCGAUAGAUUUAGAAUCUAUAAAUGUAAGAUUUUACAAAUAAUACUUGAGAUUUAAGGAUUUAUUAUUAGUUUUAGUUUCUUUAGUAAUUUUAGUUAUUAUAGUAUUGGUAGGUGUUGCUUUUUUAACAU
rnacentral:rRNA from 1 species